rnacentral:rRNA from 1 species
CAGUCGCCACGGUAAUACGUAGGUGGCAAGCGUUGUCCGGAAUUAUUGGGCGUAAAGGCUCGCAGGCGGUUUCUUAAGUCUGAUGUGAAAGCCCCCGGCUCAACCGGGGAGGGUCAUUGGAAACUGGGAAACUUGAGUGCAGAAGAGGAGAGUGGAAUUCCACGUGUAGCGGUGAAAUGCGUAGAGAUGUGGAGGAACACCAGUGGCGAAGGCGACUCUCUGGUCUGUAACUGACGCUGAGGAGCGAAAGCGUGGGGAGCGAACAGGAUUAGAUACCCCUGUAGUCCCUGUCUCUUAUACA